AUUGAACGCUGGCGGCAUGCCUUACACAUGCAAGUCGAACGGUAACAGGUCUUCGGAUGCUGACGAGUGGCGAACGGGUGAGUAAUACAUCGGAACGUGCCCGAUCGUGGGGGAUAACGAAGCGAAAGCUUUGCUAAUACCGCAUACGAUCUACGGAUGAAAGCAGGGGGCCGCAAGGCCUUGCGCGAACGGAGCGGCCGAUGGCAGAUUAGGUAGUUGGUGGGAUAAAAGCUUACCAAGCCGACGAUCUGUAGCUGGUCUGAGAGGACGACCAGCCACACUGGGACUGAGACACGGCCCAGACUCCUACGGGAGGCAGCAGUGGGGAAUUUUGGACAAUGGGCGAAAGCCUGAUCCAGCCAUGCCGCGUGCAGGAUGAAGGCCUUCGGGUUGUAAACUGCUUUUGUACGGAACGAAAAGACUCUGGUUAAUACCUGGGGUCCAUGACGGUACCGUAAGAAUAAGCACCGGCUAACUACGUG
rnacentral:rRNA from 1 species